UACGUAGGGUGCGAGCGUUAAUCGGAAUUACUGGGCGUAAAGGGUGCGCAGGCGGUUAUAUAAGACAGAUGUGAAAUCCCCGGGCUCAACCUGGGAACUGCGUUUGUGACUGUAUGACUAGAGUACGGUAGAGAGGGGUGGAAUUCCUGGUGUAGCAGUGAAAUGCGUAGAUAUCAGGAGGAACAUCGAUGGCGAAGGCAGCUCGCUGGGACGGUACUGACGCUGAGGCGCGAAAGCGUGGGGAGCAAACAGG
rnacentral:rRNA from 1 species